AGACAACACUCCGGCAGAUGAUUAAAACUCUCUGACACAGUGUGAGCUUGUUGUAGCAGAAAGUCUAACCUAUUCGGUGCUCUCUCCUCUGUGAGACAAGCCGUUAUAUAGACUUAGAGAGU